AAUUAAAACACAACAAAAAAUAUGUUACGAUAUAAUUUACAGUUAUAGUAACUAAUGCGGCUACAUCCUGACGAUAUUUUUAUAAAUAUUUUGUAGCAUGAAUGGCAAUUUUUCCUAUGAUCUUCGAGUUAGUUAACUUCUGUUAUUUAAGAGGAAUGCGUUUACUGCAUUUUUUUAGUUAUAGCACUCUCUAGUCCCGCCGUGUGUCGCUUGUUGUAGAAAAUCCAAAGAAUGGGAUGAGCUUAGACCAGCGUUCUUUAUUUUGUUUUUGUCACUGUCUAGCUCCGCAUCCCUGGCUUAUAUUAGUUAACAACGAAAUCAAUGAUCAAAAGAUAUCAUCUUAGUUUUAAACAAAAAACACAACAGUAAAUGAAUAAAACAAAAAUCGUGAAAAAGGCUGGGAUUGCUUACCCUAACA
rnacentral:lncRNA from 1 species